rnacentral:lncRNA from 1 species
CCCCAUCUGCCCCUGCCCCCGCCCCAUCUACAACGAACCCCGCCCCAUCUACCACUGCCCCGCCCCAUAUAUCACUGACUUGUCAAUCAAACUACUGACUGAUAUUAAAAUGAGAGGAGAGACAGAGAGACUGGAGAGAGACUGGAGAGAGACUGGAGAGAGUGGAGAGAGACUGGAGAGAGACUGGAGAGAGACUGGAGAGAGUGGAGAGAGACUGGAGAGAGACUGGAGAGAGUGGAGAGAGACUGGAGAGAGACUGGAGAGAGACUGGAGAGAGACAGCAGCUGGAGAGAGACUGGAGAGAGACUGGAGAAAGACUGGAGAGAGACUGGAGAAAGACUGGAGAGAGACUGGAGAAAGACUGGAGAGAGACUGGAGAGAGACUGGAGAGAGACUGGAGAGAGACUGGAGAGAGACUGGAGAGAGACUGGAGAGAGACAGCAGCUGGAGAGAGACUGGAGAGAGACUGGAGAGAGACUGGAGAGAGACUGGAGAGAGACUGGAGAGAGACAGCAGCUGGAGAAAGACUGGAGAGAGACUGGAGAGAGACUGGAGAGAGACUGGAGAAAGACUGGAGAGAGACUGGAGAGAGACUGGAGAGAGACUGGAGAGAGACUGGAGAGAGACAGCAGCUGGAGAGAGACUGGAGAGAGACUGGAGAGAGACUGGAGAGAGACUGGAGAGAGACUGGAGAGAGACAGCAGCUGGAGAGAGACUGGAGAAAGACUGGAGAGAGACUGGAGAGAGACUGGAGAGAGACUGGAGAGAGACAGGAGAGAGACUGGAGAGAGACUGGAGAGAGACAGGAGAGAGACUGGAGAGAGACUGGAGAGAGACUGGAGAGAGACUGGAGAGAGACUGGAGAGAGACAGCAGCUGGAGAGAGACUGGAGAAAGACUGGAGAGAGACUGGAGAAAGACUGGAGAGAGACUGGAGAAAGACUGGAGAGAGACUGGAGAAAGACUGGAGAGAGACUGGAGAGAGACUGGAGAGAGACUGGAGAGAGACUGGAGAGAGACUGGAGAGAGACAGAGGAAAAAAUGCCAUCAGGGAGACAUGAGAGGACCAGAGAGCAGAGCAACACUGAUGCCACUCACACCACACAUUCCACUAGGACCUGUGUGUGUGUGUGUGUGUGUGUCAGUCUGUCAGGACAACACGGUAACAGCAGUCUGUCAGGACAACACGGUAACAGCAGUCUUCUGUUCUGAUGCUCUGCUUGUGUCUAGAACACAUAUAAAUUCCUUUGCGUUUGUACUGAGUGUCUGAAUAUAUGUUUGUCAGUACUAUCCUACGUAUACUAGUAAACACAAACAGGAUAUUGAAUAUGACUGUUGUAUGAAGACUUUGUAGUGAGGACCUGCAGGGAGGGUAAUAUACUACCACAGAGCAAACUGGCCUAUUAUAUUCUGAUACAUCUCUUCAUUUUUAGAAAGAUGGACUGAUUGACUCGACAGCCCUUCACAACAUCGAAGGUUUUCAGAUUUCUAAUUAUUAAACCUAUAAACAUAUCUGUGGUUUAAUUAUUGGUUUGUUUCUGAAAGUUAGCCGGCUAAACUCAUUGAUCCUGCUUUGUAGUGUUACCCACCCCUCCCUCUGAUAUCUGUCGUGAUGGUUAAAACCAUGUGAUUUAAACACAUAUCUUUAUUUCUUUUAACUGUAAUGACAUAUGUUUCAAUAAAGUUAUUUCACCUU